rnacentral:tRNA from 1 species
GGCGAGAUAGCUCAGGUGGUAGAGCAGCGGACUGAAAAUCCGUGUGUCCCUGGUUCGACUCCAGGUCUCGCCACCA